GGAUGAACGCUGACAGAAUGCUUAACACAUGCAAGUCAACUUGAAUUUGGGUUUUUAACUUAGGUUUGGGUGGCGGACGGGUGAGUAACGCGUAAAGAACUUGCCUCACAGCUAGGGACAACAUUUGGAAACGAAUGCUAAUACCUAAUAUUAUGAUAAUAGGGCAUCCUAUAAUUAUGAAAGCUAUAAGCGCUGUGAGAGAGCUUUGCAUCCAAUUAGCUAGUUGGAGAGGUAACGGCUCACCAAGGCGAUGAUGGGUAGCCGGCCUGAGAGGGUGAUCGGCCACAAGGGGACUGGGACACGGCCCUUACUCCUACGGGAGGCAGCAGUGGGGAAUAUUGGACAAUGGACCAAGAGUCUGAUCCAGCAAUUCUGUGUGCACGAUGAAGUUUUUCGGAAUGUAAAGUGCUUUCAGUUGGGAAGAAAGAAAUGACGGUACCAACAGAAGAAGUGACGGCUAAAUACGUGCCAGCAGCCGCGGUAAUACGUAUGUCACGAGCGUUAUCCGGAUUUAUUGGGCGUAAAGCGCGUCUAGGUGGUUAUGUAAGUCUGAUGUGAAAAUGCAGGGCUCAACUCUGUAUUGCGUUGGAAACUGUAUAACUAGAGUACUGGAGAGGUAAGCGGAACUACAAGUGUAGAGGUGAAAUUCGUAGAUAUUUGUAGGAAUGCCGAUGGGGAAGCCAGCUUACUGGACAGAUACUGACGCUGAAGCGCGAAAGCGUGGGUAGCAAACAGGAUUAGAUACCCUGGUAGUCCACGCCGUAAACGAUGAUUACUAGGUGUUGGGGGUCGAACCUCAGCGCCCAAGCAAACGCGAUAAGUAAUCCGCCUGGGGAGUACGUACGCA
rnacentral:rRNA from 1 species